AGGGGUAUAGUUCUUCGGAGCUAGAGACCGGCGCACGGGUGCGUAACGCGUAUGCAAUCUACCUUUUACAGAGGGAUAGCCCAGAGAAAUUUGGAUUAAUACCUCAUAGUAUGUGAGAAUCGCAUGGUUUUCACAUUAAAGUUCCAACGGUAAAAGAUGAGCAUGCGUCCCAUUAGCUAGAUGGUAAGGUAACGGCUUACCAUGGCGACGAUGGGUAGGGGUCCUGAGAGGGAGAUCCCCCACACUGGUACUGAGACACGGACCAGACUCCUACGGGAGGCAGCAGUGAGGAAUAUUGGACAAUGGGCGCAAGCCUGAUCCAGCCAUGCCGCGUGCAGGAUGACGGUCCUAUGGAUUGUAAACUGCUUUUGUACAGGAAGAAACACUCCCUCGUGAGGGAGCUUGACGGUACUGUAAGAAUAAGGAUCGGCUAACUCCGUGCCAGCAGCCGCGGUAAUACGGAGGAUCCAAGCGUUAUCCGGAAUCAUUGGGUUUAAAGGGUCCGUAGGCGGUUUAAUAAGUCAGUGGUGAAAGCCCAUCGCUCAACGGUGGAACGGCCAUUGAUACUGUUAAACUUGAAUUAUUAGGAAGUAACUAGAAUAUGUAGUGUAGCGGUGAAAUGCUUAGAGAUUACAUGGAAUACCAAUUGCGAAGGCAGGUUACUACUAAUGGAUUGACGCUGAUGGACGAAAGCGUGGGUAGCGAACAGGAUUAGAUACCCUGGUAGUCCACGCCGUAAACGAUGGAUACUAGCUGUUGGGCGCAAGUUCAGUGGCUA
rnacentral:rRNA from 1 species